rnacentral:lncRNA from 1 species
UUUUGGGAAGAUGUUUAAGAGUUAAUAAGAGUAUGUUUGACACCUCAAUCGAGUCCUUUUGUGUAGGAUCGGACCCGACAGUUCAGGGAGGUCGUCAGGUUUAGCAGUUGCAGAGUCAGUCAGGUUUCUGCUUGAGGAGCAGAGGUGAGUAGAACUAAACGUAAUCUUUUAUUAAAGAAACAUAGUGCUUUAGCAUAGUUCAUGCAUCAUGAAUGCUAUGAUAUGUAUUAGGGUGAUUGCAUUAGAAUCACGAAUAUGAAGCAUUGCAUAUUAUUGUUGAUUAUGUGAUCAGAGGUUAGGUGGACCCAGGCGACUCCAAUAGCCUAAGCUUCGGCUCCUGUCAUUGUGUCAGGUCAGUUGGGCAAGUACAUGUUGGUAUGCCCUGUGUAGCUCCUUUGGGGGGGCCAGUAUUGACAGAGGGUAUUUUUGGGGUCAUGUCUACCUUAGUGGAGAUUGGACCAAGGCGACUUCAAUAGCCCGUCGAGGGAGUUUUGGGGUCAUGUCUAAUCCAAGAUAUAUUGAGAUGUUUGUUUGGUGAUGCAUUUUCAUAUAUAGUGCGUAUGAAUGAACUGUUUUCAGUGUUUCUACUCACUGGGCUUUAGAAGCUCAUCCCUUUCCCUUAAUCCCAGUUUUGCAGGUUCAGAGUAGCUGGGAAGGGCAGAAGCA